CGCGAGCUGGGUUUAGAACGUCGUGAGACAGUUCGGUCCCUAUCUGCCGUGGGCGCUGGAGAACUGAGGGGGGCUGCUCCUAGUACGAGAGGACCGGAGUGGACGCAUCACUGGUGUUCGGGUUGUCAUGCCAAUGGCACUGCCCGGUAGCUAAAUGCGGAAGAGAUAAGUGCUGAAAGCAUCUAAGCACGAAACUUGCCCCGAGAUGAGUUCUCCCUGAGACUUAAAGUCUCCUGAAGGAACGUUGAAGACGACGACGUUGAUAGGCCGGGUGUGUAAGCGCAGCGAUGCGUUGAGCUAACCGGUACUAAUGAACCGUGAGGCUUAACCUUACAACGCCGAAG
rnacentral:rRNA from 2 species